UACGGAGGAUGCGAGCGUUAUCCGGAUUUAUUGGGUUUAAAGGGAGCGCAGACGGGUCGUUAAGUCAGCUGUGAAAGUUUGGGGCUCAACCUUAAAAUUGCAGUUGAUACUGGCGUCCUUGAGUGCGGUUGAGGUGUGCGGAAUUCGUGGUGUAGCGGUGAAAUGCUUAGAUAUCACGAAGAACUCCGAUUGCGAAGGCAGCACACUAAUCCGUAACUGACGUUCAUGCUCGAAAGUGUGGGUAUCAAACAGG
rnacentral:rRNA from 2 species